GAUGAUCGCUGGCGGCGUGCCUAAUACAUGCAAGUCGAGCGAACAGACGAGGAGCUUGCUCCUCUGACGUUAGCGGCGGACGGGUGAGUAACACGUGGAUAACCUACCUAUAAGACUGGGAUAACUUCGGGAAACCGGAGCUAAUACCGGAUAAUAUAUUGAACCGCAUGGUUCAAUAGUGAAAGACGGUUUUGCUGUCACUUAUAGAUGGAUCCGCGCCGCAUUAGCUAGUUGGUAAGGUAACGGCUUACCAAGGCAACGAUGCGUAGCCGACCUGAGAGGGUGAUCGGCCACACUGGAACUUAGACACGGUCCAGACUCCUACGGGAGGCAGCAGUAGGGAAUCUUCCGCAAUGGGCGAAAGCUUGACGGAGCAACGCCGCGUGAGUGAUGAAGGUCUUCGGAUCGUAAAACUCUGUUAUUAGGGAAGAACAAAUGUGUAAGUAACUAUGCACGUCUUGACGGUACCUAAUCAGAAAGCCACGGCUAACUACGUG
rnacentral:rRNA from 1 species